CUUCAUGACGCCAGCACUCAGCACCGCGUCAUAAAAAGGGAUGAGCGCAUAGCGGCCAGCGGCCCUGAUGCUGAGUGGAGCCUCUCUCAGCGUGGGAGCGGUGGUCCUCCCGACCUCGGCGUCGGCAGAUCGGCGGACCGACAAGGUAAGUGAGAGAGGGCUUACACAAAACAGGUUCAAUAUUAGGAAAUUCAAAAUUGUUUAUUCUAGGAAAUGUUUCAUGGCAGCAUAAUAACAUCCAAGGGGAACAACAGAAUGAUAAAGCUAGAACCGGGUUGUACGUAUGUAGAAGCAUUUUGACUUGCGGUGUUGGUGAGCACAGUUUGAUAUAGCUGGACACUAUUCAGAUAUGAUUUAUUGCUGUUGAAGCUCACACAUGUUUUUUGAUAUGAUGGACCAUUAGAACAGCAAACACCAAUGCUCAUAUAAGAAUACAUAUCUCCCACGAUGCUCAACUCCUAAUCAUUCACUCUUUCAGCUCCCAGUUUUGCAUGGAUGGAAGAUGCUGAGAAUUUCUACAUCUAAGUCUUUCUUUCUCUGUUGGUUGCUCUUUGUGUCGUGAACAAUUCUUAAGACAUUUCUCUUGCGCACUACAGAUGCUAAAGGAAAUACCAAAAUUCCAACAGAUGCACGUCUGGAAGUUACCCUAUCAUGUUUAGAAUAAAAUACAUUCUAUCGGCAAAAAUAUGUACUGAGUUACUAACUAGAUGGAAACAGAAUGAAUACCAUCAAGUGAACAUAGAGGAAAUGACAGUUGUGGUCAUGCCCUGUGCACUUCGAGUCAGGAUGUCCAUAUUUUCCAUUGUUCCGCUUCUCCAAACAGGAUGUUUCUAAGUAUUGUACCGGCAACACAAUCAUCCAUUGUGUCACUUUCAGGAAAAAAAAAAAUUAACAAAAGUAAUUGCAUGUGCUUUGAAAAUAAAUUCUUUCAUUUACAGGUGUGGCUGACCCAUCAUAUCCAAGAGAGGCUUGUUGGUCUACAGUCUAAUUAAGCCACUCUUAGUGAAAAUAUAUAUUUUUAAUAUAGAUAUUUAUAUAUAUUUACAAUACUUGUCACUGG